CCUGCCUGGAGGAACUGAUGAAGGUAUGAACACACCAACAUCUCUCUGUCCUGCCUGGAGGAACUGAUGAAGGUAUGAACACACCAACAUCUCUCUGUCCUGCCUGGAGGAACUGAUGAAGGUAUGAACACACCAACAUGUGUAUUUAAUGAAUACAGUCGGACCUCUUUGGGAAUGGAGGUUGUUUGGAACACUGAGUUGUCUGUAACUUUAAAAUGUGUCAGUCUGUAACUCUGGGGUUGGUAACUUUAAAAUGUGUCAGUCUGUAACUCUGGGGUUCGUAACUUUAAAAUGUGUCAGUCUGUAACUCUGGGGUUCGUAACUUUAAAAUGUGUCAGUCUGUAACUCUGGGGUUCGUAACUUUAAAAUGUGUCAGUCUGUAACUCUGGGGUUCGUAACUUUAAAAUGUGUCAGUCUGUAACUCUGGGGUUCGUAACUUUAAAAUGUGUCAGUCUGUAACUCUGGGGUUCGUAACUUUAAAAUGUGUCAGUCUGUAACUCUGGGGUUCGUAACUUUAAAAUGUGUCAGUCUGUAACUCUGGGGUUCGUAACUUUAAAAUGUGUCAGUCUGUAACUCUGGGGUUCGUAACUUUAAAAUGUGUCAGUCUGUAACUCUGGGGUUCGUAACUUUAAAAUGUGUCAGUCUGUAACUCUGGGGUUGGUAACUUUAAAAUGUGUCAGUCUGUAACUCUGGGGUCCGUAACUUUAAAAUGUGUCAGUCUGUAACUCUGGGGUACGUAACUUUAAAAUGUGUCAGUCUGUAACUCUGGGGUUCGUAACUUUAAAAUGUGUCAGUCUGUAACUCU